CCUUGAUGUGAGGCCACUCUUUGUCUUCCAACGGUUGCGAUGGUGUGGGUGCGGUGAGGCUUUUGGUCACCAGGGCUUCCAAUUGCAGCCGGAAACUGUCGUCGAGGGGUGACCGAAUGGUCACGUGAACCUCGGAUCGUGCCGUCCCCACGCUGGCUCCUUGAUACCCGGUGAGGUUGACCCGAACCGCUCGCCUCCGCAGCCUCAGAGAUUGCGCCGCCCACUCACUGAGGAAUGAGCAUUCCGAGCCGGAGUCCAGCAAGGCCCUAACUGCAUCGUGAAGAGUGGUGUGGUGCAGCCCGUCACACACCCAGCAGCGGAAGUUGGAGGUGCAGUUCUGGACCUGGUGACCGGCAGCUAAACACGAGAUGCAUACGCCCGAUUUCGUCACGAACGCUCGACGCUCGUUGUUCGUACGCGUGGGACCGGAGGGACUGCCACGACCUGUCAAGGGUACCUUUGGGGCGGCAGGUACAUCGAACUGGCGAGCCGAGGACAGAGCGUGGACCCGAUUUUCCAGGAACAUCUCCAAAGCGGCGAACUGCGGAAUCUCAAGUGGAUCGGUGAGCGAGACCUCCCAGGCCAGUCGCGUGGUUUGAUCCAGUUUUUCCGUCAGAAGGAAAACAAACCACUCGUCCCAUUCUUUGACGGGCUUGCCCAACGCCUUGAAGGCCUCCUGAGUUUGGCGGAACUCAUCCAGAAGCCGUUUGAUUUCUGACUGCGAGGUUUUCGUCGCAUGGGAGAUUUGAAUUAACCGUCUCAUAUGGGACGCGGACAGUAUGCGACGAUUGCCAAAACGCCUUUCCAGAGACGCCCACGCUCCGUCAUAAUUGCUCUCCGUGACGGGAGUCAGCAUGAGCAUUUUUGCUGCUUCACCGACAAGGCACGAUUUUAAAUAUUGUAGCUUACGUACCUUGGAGAUCCGCGCGGAGUUGUGGAUCAGGGAGCAGAAUUGGUCACGGAAGCUUUCCCAUUGGAAGAGAUCUCCCGAGAAGGUGGGAAGGUUGAUCUGCGGCAGAGCUGGUUCCGGAUCUUGAACGGUUGGAGGUGGUUUAGAGGUUCCUGGAUGGUCCACGGUCGACGCGUUCAUGGUCGCAACCCAUUCAUCGAUGACUGCCCCUUGGUCGAUGUACUCCUCUUCCACCUCCGAAAAGUAAUCUGUGGUAAAGAGCUUCUGCCUCCGCUUGAGUAAGGAGAGAGAUAGGCUUUCCUUCCCAGUUUUUUUCAAAUUGGUUAAAAAACGGACUAUUCGUCCACCCAGUUCUCGUUGGGCGGACACGAGUUCGGUUGAAUUAGUCGGCAUACCGGACAAGUUUAAAAGAAACGACGACCGUUUAGUUCAAACGACGAAAAACACACACAGCACUGUCGACGAACUACGGGUCCGAAUGGAGGUUGUUCGGAGGAUCGAGACGGCGAAGAUUCGCGCAGAAGCUCGAUUAUUGCAAAAAACGGUUCGUCUCGACGAACCCACGCACAAGAACGGGAAACGGCACUCCGCACUGGGUGUCGAAAAACGAUAUCCGGCUCGAAGGACCAAAUGUUUCGAAUAAAAUGGGUUUUCCGUGGUCGGAAACUUGCCAACUUAUUCUGCGUUUUGAAUAUCAACGGAACGAGGAGGUCACAAGAGAAAACAGACGCUAAACUCGCUGGUCGAAACAAUACGGUUGAGUGCGAUCAGCUGUAACGCGCGCUAUCGCUCGACGCUCUCCUCUUGCCCCACUCCCCGGAGAGCCCGAGCUGCUCGAUCCACCCGUGGUGCUCGCGGGGUCUGGGGGGAGAGGCGCUGAGCCCGCGGCAGCGCACGCGCUGUCGAUCAACCGGUGACAUUUAUUUAGAUAAUGUACAGUUUGUUAAAAUGGUAAUAAAU